CAGCAGCCGCGGGAACACGGAGGAUGCAAGCGUUGCCCGAAGUUACUGGGCGUAAAGCGCGCGUAGGCGGCUUCUUAAGUCUGAGGUGAAAGGUUCAACGCUUAACGUGAACAGUGCCUUGGAUACUGGGGAGCUUGAGCAUGGGAGAGGGCAGUGGAAUGGCUGGUGUAGCGGUGAAAUGCGUAGAUAUCAGUCGGAACACCCAUGGCGAAGGCAGCUGCCUGGCCUAAUACUGACGCUGAGGUGCGAAAGCGUGGGGAGCGAACGGGAUUAGAUACCCCCGUAGUCCCUGUCUCUUAUA
rnacentral:rRNA from 1 species